rnacentral:misc_RNA from 1 species
GAUGAAGAACGUAGCGAAAUGCGAUAAGUAAUGUGAAUUGCAGAAUUCAGUGAAUCAUCGAAUCUUUGAACGCACAUUGCGCCUGCCAGUAGUCUGGCGGGCAUGCCUGUUCGAGCGUCAUUUCAACCAUCAAGCCCCCGGGCUUGUGUUGGGGACCUGCGGCUGCCGCAGGCCCUGAAAAGCAGUGGCGGGCUCGCUGUCACACCGAGCGUAGUAGAUUUUAUCUCGCUCUGGGCGUGCUGCGGGUUCCGGCCGUUAAACCACCCUUUUAACCCAAGGUUGACCUCGGAUCAGGUAGGAAGACCCGCUGAACUUAAGCAUAUCAAUAAGCGGAGGA